AUCAACCUCGAGGAGAACGAGUGACGGUUAUGUUGUCGUAAACCUACGAUCGCAUGGAAAAAACCCGGAAUCUACACAUGUAUAUACUUGUCUAAUAUCCAGCAUGCCGCGUGCAAACAACGGACUGGCAGGGGAGAGUCCCAUUCCAAGCACUUCGGCCGGUUGAAGAGUCGAACCAUCCUUGGGGGUCUCCUGCCCGUCCACAAGCGCAAGGAGCCACAGCAGGGCAAUGAUGGUAGAGGAAGGACGCUGGACCAUUUGUAUUCAAUAAAAGCUUGAGGGCUUACGGAACAAAUGGGAACAAUGCAGAAGACACAGACAAAGAUUUUCCUCGAUAUUCACAAUGUCCUUCGGCUCCGUAUUCCCGCGGGAAUCCCCUGACCCAUGCUUCGAAAAGGUUGACUUUGCUUCUUGUCAUGGUUAGUUAUGAGAUGUCAGAUUGAAAAGGGGUCAAGCUAUGCCGUGAUUGGACCUGACUCGUUCCUGGGUGGCAGCUAGUGACCGAGGAAUAUAACGCUGGUUCCUGACAUCUUAUCCGACAGAUCGACGGCCAAGAAAUCCUUGGAUUGGCCGGAUAACUCUGUGGAAUUUAGACAUCAUUCACAUAUCUGCUACGUGCUGCGUAAUAAGGGAGAACCUACUAACAAGGUUUUUCCCAAUAAUCCACAUAAACUUGUGUGCGGACGAUACAUGUUGCUCAAAGGAGGGCUAAAACGGAGCACGGACAAUACUGGUCGGUAUGAUCGUGUGAACAAUCGUUCAUAUUUUAGGCCAGGAACCCUUGUUUGUGGCACAAGGGUUAGGCGCAAACUAUCGCUGUUUCGCUUUCUGCAGCACUGGAAAUUCCGAGGCACC
rnacentral:sRNA from 1 species